rfam:Brassica napus, WGS project CCCW01000000 data, contig: 16759
GUUACGGCGGCCUCUGAUUCGCUUGGUGCAGGUCGGGAACUGAUUGGCUGACACUGCCACGUGGCUUUUCAUGGUUGGCUUGUGAGCAGGGAUCGGAUCCCGCCUUGUAUCAAGUGAAUCCGAGUCCGACGUGAAA